AUUGAACGCUGGCGGCAGGCCUAACACAUGCAAGUCGAGCGGUAGCACAGAGAGCUUGCUCUCGGGUGACGAGCGGCGGACGGGUGAGUAAUGUCUGGGAAACUGCCUGAUGGAGGGGGAUAACUACUGGAAACGGUAGCUAAUACCGCAUAACGUCGCAAGACCAAAGAGGGGGACCUUCGGGCCUCUUGCCAUCAGAUGUGCCCAGAUGGGAUUAGCUAGUAGGUGGGGUAACGGCUCACCUAGGCGACGAUCCCUAGCUGGUCUGAGAGGAUGACCAGCCACACUGGAACUGAGACACGGUCCAGACUCCUACGGGAGGCAGCAGUGGGGAAUAUUGCACAAUGGGCGCAAGCCUGAUGCAGCCAUGCCGCGUGUAUGAAGAAGGCCUUCGGGUUGUAAGUACUUUCAGCGGGGAGGAAGGCGUUGUGGUUAAUAACCACAGCGAUUGACGUUACCCGCAGAAGAAGCACCGGCUAACUCCGUGCCAGCAGCCGCGGUAAUACGGAGGGUGCAAGCGUUAAUCGGAAUUACUGGGCGUAAAGCGCACGCAGGCGGUCUGUCAAGUCGGAUGUGAAAUCCCCGGGGCUCAACCUGGGAACUGCAUUCGAAACUGGCAGGCUAGAGUCUUGUAGAGGGGGGUAGAAUUCCAGGUGUAGCGGUGAAAUGCGUAGAGAUCUGGAGGAAUACCGGUGGGCGAAAGGCGGCCCCCUGGACAAAGACUGACGCUCAGGUGCGAAAGCGUGGGGAGCAAACAGGAUUAGAUACCCUGGUAGUCCACGCCGUAAACGAUGUCGACUUGGAGGUUGUGCCCUUGAGGCGUGGCUUCCGGAGCUAACGCGUUAAGUCGACCGCCUGGGGAGUACGGCCGCAAGGUUAAAACUCAAAUGAAUUGACGGGGGCCCGCACAAGCGGUGGAGCAUGUGGUUUAAUUCGAUGCAACGCGAAGAACCUUACCUACUCUUGACAUCCAGAGAACUUUCCAGAGAUGGAUUGGUGCCUUCGGGAACUCUGAGACAGGUGCUGCAUGGCUGUCGUCAGCUCGUGUUGUGAAAUGUUGGGUUAAGUCCCGCAACGAGCGCAACCCUUAUCCUUUGUUGCCAGCGGUCCGGCCGGGAACUCAAAGGAGACUGCCAGUGAUAAACUGGAGGAAGGUGGGGAUGACGUCAAGUCAUCAUGGCCCUUACGAGUAGGGCUACACACGUGCUACAAUGGCGCAUACAAAGAGAAGCGACCUCGCGAGAGCAAGCGGACCUCAUAAAGUGCGUCGUAGUCCGGAUUGGAGUCUGCAACUCGACUCCAUGAAGUCGGAAUCGCUAGUAAUCGUAGAUCAGAAUGCUACGGUGAAUACGUUCCCGGGCCUUGUACACACCGCCCGUCACACCAUGGGAGUGGGUUGCAAAAGAAGUAGGUAGCUUAACCUUCGGGAGGGCGCUUACCACUUUGUGAUUCAUGACUGGGGUG
rnacentral:rRNA from 1 species